rnacentral:tRNA from 1 species
GCUCCAGUGGCGCAAUCGGUUAGCGUACUUAUAAGACAGUUCCUGCAGAGCAAUGCCGAGGUUGUGAGUUCGAGCCUCACCUGGAGCA